AUGAGGCUGGUCCACUACCAAUUCCUCAUUGAUCGAGUGAGAUCACGUCUCGCGGGAUGGAAGGGCAAGCUUAUGUCUCUGGCAGGUCGGCGCGUUCUGGUGCGUGCGGUGUUCUUGGCGCUGCCUACUUUUGCACUGACAGUUCUCAAGGUGCCGAAGAAGAUCCUGAAAGAGAUCGACAAGGCACUGCAUCGUUUCCUGUGGGCUCAAGACGACGCGCUGACCGGCAGCAAGUGCAAGGUGGCUUGGAGCAUAGUGUGCUCUCCGACGGAGAAGGGCGGGCCAGGGAUACCCGAUGUGCAAUGUUUUGGUUCUGCUCUUUGUCUGCGCUAG
rnacentral:rRNA from 1 species